rnacentral:rRNA from 1 species
AACGAACGCUGGCGGCAUGCCUAACACAUGCAAGUCGAACGAGACGGUCGGGCCUAGGUGCGCACGUGUGCGUAACACCGGGUAACCUGCCCUUAGGUUCGGAAUAACUGCCCGAAAGGUGUGCUAAUACCGGUGAAUGUCAUCCGACCAAAGAGUUAUCGCCUUUGGAUGGGGCCUCGUUGGAUUAGCUAGUUGGUAGGGUAAAAGCCGACCAAGGCGACGAUACAGAGCUGGUCUGAGAGGAUGAUCAGACACGCUGGGACUGAGACCCGGCACAGCCUCCUACGGGAGGAGGCAGUAGGGAAUAUUAGACGAUGGGCGACAGACUGAUCAAGCCCUGCCGCGUGAGUGAUGCAGGCCUUAGGGUUGUCACGCUCUCCUGCCAGGGAUGAUAAUGACCGUAACGGGAGAAUGAACCACGGCCAAACCACUG